UCGUUCGGAUAAAUGCAAAAAAGUACCCAACGUAUGAAAAUUUUCUUAUUUUUUUCUCGUAAAAGUUUUCCUUCGACGGAACAGUGACAUGGAUAGAUGGAACAGCUACAUGGCUUUUAUGGCCGAAAAUUUAAAAAAAUAAAAUAAAAUAAUAUUACACAUCAUUAACUUUAAUUCAAAUUCAAAUGACUAGUUACAGAGAAAAAGAAAAAAAGAAACGGGACAGAGAAAGCUCAUCGCGUCUAAAAUUUCAAAUUUACCCAAAACUUGCUUUUCGAUUCUGAAAUUCGCAGUUCGAAUUCACAAUUCCUCUAACUUUCGAUUAUGAAACACAAAGCUCUUAAAACUCCCGCGUCUGAAAUCUCCCUCAAAUUCGCGGUUCAAGUUUUCCCUAAAUUUUCCCCAAAUUUUGGAGUGAAGAAAGAACAAGUUCGAUUCUGAUAUAGCAUGUCGAAUCUCGUGGUAUUGCUUAGGAUGUGGCAUGAUGGAGCGUUCGAAGUUAGAGGAGCUUUGUGUUCUUCGAUUGUUUCCUUAUGUUUCUUAUUUAUGUAAUUAGUCAUUUGAAUUAAUGUUAAUGAUAUGUAAUUUUAUUUCUUUUUCUUUAA